rnacentral:rRNA from 1 species
AUUGAACGCUGGCGGCAGGCCUAACACAUGCAAGUCGAGCGAGCGGCGGACGGGUGAGUAAUGUAUGGGGACUGCCCGAUAGAGGGGGAUAACUACUGGAAACGGUAGCUAAUACCGCAUACUAUCGGAUAACCCAUAUGGGAUUAGCUAGUAGGGGAGGUAAUGGCUCACCUAGGCGACGAUCCCUAGCUGGUCUGCGAGAAUGAUCAGCAAAACUGGGACGAAUAGAGGGCCCAGACUCCUACGGAGGCAGCGGUGGGGAAUAUUGCACAAUGGGCGCAAGCCUGAUGCAGGCAUGCCGGGUGUAUGAAGAAGGCCCUAGGGUGGGAAAGUACCGUCAGUCGGGAGGCGUUACCGACAGAAGAAGCACCGGCUAACUCCGUGCCAGCAGCCGCGGUAAUAC